AUUGAACGCUGGCGGCAUGCCUUACACAUGCAAGUCGAACGGCAGCACGGGUGCUUGCACCUGGUGGCGAGUGGCGAACGGGUGAGUAAUAUAUCGGAACGUACCUUAUUGUGGGGGAUAACGCAGCGAAAGCUGUGCUAAUACCGCAUAAUCCCUUAGGGGGAAAGCGGGGGACCGUAAGGCCUCGCGCAAUUAGAGCGGCCGAUACCUGAUUAGCUAGUUGGUGAGGUAAAGGCUCACCAAGGCAACGAUCAGUAGCUGGUCUGAGAGGACGAUCAGCCACACUGGGACUGAGACACGGCCCAGACUCCUACGGGAGGCAGCAGUGGGGAAUUUUGGACAAUGGGGGCAACCCUGAUCCAGCAAUGCCGCGUGAGUGAAGAAGGCCUUCGGGUUGUAAAGCUCUUUUGUCAGGGAAGAAACA
rnacentral:rRNA from 1 species